rnacentral:misc_RNA from 1 species
AGCAGCCGCGGUAAUUCCAGCUCCAAUAGCGUAUAUUAAAGUUGUUGCAGUUAAAAAGCUCGUAGUUGAAUUUCGGGAUUGGCGCAUCGGUCGUGCCUCACGGGGUAUGAACUGGUGCAGUCAAUUUCUCACCUUCUGGAGAACCGCGAUGUCCUUAAUUGGAUGCCGCGGGGAACCAGGACCUUUACUUUGAAAAAUUAGAGUGUUUAAAGCAGGCAUUUUUGCUUGAAUACAUUAGCAUGGAAUAAUAAAAUAGGACGGCAUGGUUCUAUUUUGUUGGUUUCUAGGACCACCGUAAUGAUUAAUAGGGAUAGUUGGGGGCAUUAGUAUUCAAUUGUCAGGGGUGAAAUUCUUGGAUUUAUUGAAGACUAACUACUGCGAAAGCACUUGCCAAGGAUGUUUUCAUUAAUCAAGAACGAAAGUUAGGGGAUCGAAGACGAUCAGAUACCGUCGUAGUCUUAACCAUAAACCUAUGCCGACUAGGAAUCAGACGAUGUUAAUUUUUAAUGUACUCGUUUGG